GAUGAACGCUGGCGGCGUGCCUAAUACAUGCAAGUCGAGCGAACGGACGAGAAGCUUGCUUCUCUGAUGUUAGCGGCGGACGGGUGAGUAACACGUGGAUAACCUACCUAUAAGACUGGGAUAACUUCGGGAAACCGGAGCUAAUACCGGAUAAUAUUUUGAACCGCAUGGUUCAAAAGUGAAAGACGGUCUUGCUGUCACUUAUAGAUGGAUCCGCGCUGCAUUAGCUAGUUGGUAAGGUAACGGCUUACCAAGGCAACGAUGCAUAGCCGACCUGAGAGGGUGAUCGGCCACACUGGAACUGGGACACGGUCCAGACUCCUACGGGAGGCAGCAAUAGGGAAUCUUCCGCAAUGGGCGAAAGCCUGACGGAGCAACGCCGCGUGAGUGAUGAAGGUCUUCGGAUCGUAAAACUCUGUUAUUGGGGAAGAACAUAUGUGUAAGUAACUGUGCACAUCUUGACGGUACCUAAUCAGAAAGCCACGGCUAACUACGUGCCAGCAGCCGCGGUAAUACGUAGGUGGCAAGCGUUAUCCGGAAUUAUUGGGCGUAAAGCGCGCGUAGGCGGUUUUUUAAGUCUGAUGUGAAAGCCCACGGCUCAACCGUGGAGGGUCAUUGGAAACUGGAAAACUUGAGUGCAGAAGAGGAAAGUGGAAUUCCAUGUGCAGCGGUGAAAUGCGCAGAGAUAUGGAGGAACACCAGUGGCGAAGGCGACUUUCUGGUCUGUAACUGACGCUGAUGUGCGAAAGCGUGGGGAUCAAACAGGAUUAGAUACCCUGGUAGUCCACGCCGUAAACGAUGAGUGCUAAGUGUUAGGGGGUUUCCGCCCCUUAGUGCUGCAGCUAACGCAUUAAGCACUCCGCCUGGGGAGUACGACCGCAAGGUUGAAACUCAAAGGAAUUGACGGGGACCCGCACAAGCGGUGGAGCAUGUGGUUUAAUUCGAAGCAACGCGAAGAACCUUACCAAAUCUUGACAUCCUUUGACAACUCUAGAGAUAGAGCCUUCCCCUUCGGGGGACAAAGUGACAGGUGGUGCAUGGUUGUCGUCAGCUCGUGUCGUGAGAUGUUGGGUUAAGUCCCGCAACGAGCGCAACCCUUAAGCUUAGUUGCCAUCAUUAAGUUGGGCACUCUAAGUUGACUGCCGGUGACAAACCGGAGGAAGGUGGGGAUGACGUCAAAUCAUCAUGCCCCUUAUGAUUUGGGCUACACACGUGCUACAAUGGACAAUACAAAGGGCAGCGAAACCGCGAGGUCAAGCAAAUCCCAUAAAGUUGUUCUCAGUUCGGAUUGUAGUCUGCAACUCGACUACAUGAAGCUGGAAUCGCUAGUAAUCGUAGAUCAGCAUGCUACGGUGAAUACGUUCCCGGGUCU
rnacentral:rRNA from 1 species